GACGAACGCUGGCGGCGUGCUUAACACAUGCAAGUCGAACGGAAAGGCCCUACUUUUGUGGGGUGCUCGAGUGGCGAACGGGUGAGUAACACGUGAGUAACCUGCCCUUGACUUUGGGAUAACUUCAGGAAACUGGGGCUAAUACCGGAUAGGAGCUCCUGCUGCAUGGUGGGGGUUGGAAAGUUUCGGCGGUUGGGUAUGGACUCGCGGCUUAUCAGCUUGUUGGUGGGGUAGUGGCUUACCAAGGCUUUGACGGGUAGCCGGCCUGAGAGGGUGACCGGCCACAUUGGGACUGAGAUACGGCCCAGACUCCUACGGGAGGCAGCAGUGGGGAAUAUUGCACAAUGGGCGGAAGCCUGAUGCAGCAACGCCGCGUGCGGGAUGACGGCCUUCGGGUUGUAAACCGCUUUCGCCUGUGACGAAGCGUGAGUGACGGUAAUGGGUAAAGAAGCACCGGCUAACUACGUG
rnacentral:rRNA from 1 species